GACAGCUGUUGAAAGGCAGUGUCUCUUCGGAGCGAGGGAGACGAGGUGGUGCAUGGUUGUCGUCAGCUCGUGUCGUGAGAUGGUUGGGUUAACGUCCCGCAACGAGCGCAACCCUUAUCCUUAGUUACCAGCACGUAAAGGUGGGGACUCUAGGGAGACCGCCGGGGACGACUCGGAGGAAGGUGGGGACGACGUCAAAUCAUCAUGCCCCUUAUGUCUUGGGCUACACACGUGCUACAAUGGCCGCAACAGAGGGAAGCGAGAGCGCAAGCUGGAGCAAAACCCUAAAAAGCGGUCCCAGUUCGGAUUGUGGGCUGCAACCCGCCCACAUGAAGUCGGAGUUGCUAGUAAUCGCGAAUCAGCAUGUCGCGGUGAAUGCGUUCCCGGGCCUU
rnacentral:rRNA from 1 species